rnacentral:rRNA from 1 species
UACGUAGGUGGCAAGCGUUAUCCGGAUUUAUUGGGCGUAAAGGGAACGCAGGCGGUCUUUUAAGUCUGAUGUGAAAGCCUUCGGCUUAACCGGAGUAGUGCAUUGGAAACUGGGAGACUUGAGUGCAGAAGAGGAGAGUGGAACUCCAUGUGUAGCGGUGAAAUGCGUAGAUAUAUGGAAGAACACCAGUGGCGAAGGCGGCUCUCUGGUCUGUAACUGACGCUGAGGUUCGAAAGCGUGGGUAGCAAACAGG